rnacentral:misc_RNA from 1 species
GAUGAAGAACGCAGCGAAAUGCGAUAAGUAGUGUGAAUUGCAGAAUUCAGUGAAUCAUCGAAUUUUUGAACGCAUAUUGCGCCCUAUGGUAUUCCGUAGGGCAUGCCUGUUCGAGCGUCAUUACGCCCCUCAAGUCCCCUGUGGACUUGGUGUUGGGGAUCGGCGAGGCUGGUUUUCCAGCACAGCCGUCCCUUAAAUUAAUUGGCGGUCUCGCCGUGGCCCUCCUCUGCGCAGUAGUAAAACACUCGCAACAGGAGCCCGGCGCGGUCCACUGCCGUAAAACCCCCCAACUUUUUAUAGUUGACCUCGAAUCAGGUAGGACUACCCGCUGAACUUAAGCAUAUCAAUAAGCGGAGGA